UACAGAGGGGGCAAGCGUUGUUCGGAAUUACUGGGCGUAAAGGGCUCGUAGGCGGCCAACUAAGUCAGACGUGAAAUCCCUCGGCUUAACCGGGGAACUGCGUCUGAUACUGGAUGGCUUGAGUGUGGGAGAGGGAUGCGGAAUUCCAGGUGUAGCGGUGAAAUGCGUAGAUAUCUGGAGGAACACCGGUGGCGAAGGCGGCUCCCUGGCCGAACACUGACGCUGAGACGCGAAAGCGUGGGGAGCGAACGGG
rnacentral:rRNA from 1 species